rnacentral:rRNA from 1 species
GGUUAAGCGACUAAGCGUACACGGUGGAUGCCCUGGCAGUCAGAGGCGAUGAAGGACGUGCUAAUCUGCGAUAAGCGUCGGUAAGGUGAUAUGAACCGUUAUAACCGGCGAUUUCCGAAUGGGGAAACCCAGUGUGAUUCGUCACACUAUCAUUAACUGAAUCCAUAGGUUAAUGAGGCGAACCGGGGGAACUGAAACAUCUAAGUACCCCGAGGAAAAGAAAUCAACCGAGAUUCCCCCAGUAGCGGCGAGCGAACGGGGAGCAGCCCAGAGCCUGAAUCAGUGUGUGUGUUAGUGGAAGCGUCUGGAAAGGCGCGCGAUACAGGGUGACAGCCCCGUACACAAAAAUGCACAUGCUGUGAGCUCGAUGAGUAGGGCGGGACACGUGGUAUCCUGUCUGAAUAUGGGGGGACCAUCCUCCAAGGCUAAAUACUCCUGACUGACCGAUAGUGAACCAGUACCGUGAGGGAAAGGCGAAAAGAACCCCGGCGAGGGGAGUGAAAAAGAACCUGAAACCGUGUACGUACAAGCAGUGGGAGCACGCUUAGGCGUGUGACUGCGUACCUUUUGUAUAAUGGGUCAGCGACUUAUAUUCUGUAGCAAGGUUAACCGAAUAGGGGAGCCGAAGGGAAACCGAGUCUUAACUGGGCGUUAAGUUGCAGGGUAUAGACCCGAAACCCGGUGAUCUAGCCAUGGGCAGGUUGAAGGUUGGGUAACACUAACUGGAGGACCGAACCGACUAAUGUUGAAAAAUUAGCGGAUGACUUGUGGCUGGGGGUGAAAGGCCAAUCAAACCGGGAGAUAGCUGGUUCUCCCCGAAAGCUAUUUAGGUAGCGCCUCGUGAAUUCAUCUCCGGGGGUAGAGCACUGUUUCGGCAAGGGGGUCAUCCCGACUUACCAACCCGAUGCAAACUGCGAAUACCGGAGAAUGUUAUCACGGGAGACACACGGCGGGUGCUAACGUCCGUCGUGAAGAGGGAAACAACCCAGACCGCCAGCUAAGGUCCCAAAGUCAUGGUUAAGUGGGAAACGAUGUGGGAAGGCCCAGACAGCCAGGAUGUUGGCUUAGAAGCAGCCAUCAUUUAAAGAAAGCGUAAUAGCUCACUGGUCGAGUCGGCCUGCGCGGAAGAUGUAACGGGGCUAAACCAUGCACCGAAGCUGCGGCAGCGACACUGUGUGUUGUUGGGUAGGGGAGCGUUCUGUAAGCCUGCGAAGGUGUGCUGUGAGGCAUGCUGGAGGUAUCAGAAGUGCGAAUGCUGACAUAAGUAACGAUAAAGCGGGUGAAAAGCCCGCUCGCCGGAAGACCAAGGGUUCCUGUCCAACGUUAAUCGGGGCAGGGUGAGUCGACCCCUAAGGCGAGGCCGAAAGGCGUAGUCGAUGGGAAACAGGUUAAUAUUCCUGUACUUGGUGUUACUGCGAAGGGGGGACGGAGAAGGCUAUGUUGGCCGGGCGACGGUUGUCCCGGUUUAAGCGUGUAGGCUGGUUUUCCAGGCAAAUCCGGAAAAUCAAGGCUGAGGCGUGAUGACGAGGCACUACGGUGCUGAAGCAACAAAUGCCCUGCUUCCAGGAAAAGCCUCUAAGCAUCAGGUAACAUCAAAUCGUACCCCAAACCGACACAGGUGGUCAGGUAGAGAAUACCAAGGCGCUUGAGAGAACUCGGGUGAAGGAACUAGGCAAAAUGGUGCCGUAACUUCGGGAGAAGGCACGCUGAUAUGUAGGUGAAGUCCCUCGCGGAUGGAGCUGAAAUCAGUCGAAGAUACCAGCUGGCUGCAACUGUUUAUUAAAAACACAGCACUGUGCAAACACGAAAGUGGACGUAUACGGUGUGACGCCUGCCCGGUGCCGGAAGGUUAAUUGAUGGGGUCAGCGCAAGCGAAGCUCUUGAUCGAAGCCCCGGUAAACGGCGGCCGUAACUAUAACGGUCCUAAGGUAGCGAAAUUCCUUGUCGGGUAAGUUCCGACCUGCACGAAUGGCGUAAUGAUGGCCAGGCUGUCUCCACCCGAGACUCAGUGAAAUUGAACUCGCUGUGAAGAUGCAGUGUACCCGCGGCAAGACGGAAAGACCCCGUGAACCUUUACUAUAGCUUGACACUGAACAUUGAGCCUUGAUGUGUAGGAUAGGUGGGAGGCUUUGAAGUGUGGACGCCAGUCUGCAUGGAGCCGACCUUGAAAUACCACCCUUUAAUGUUU